rnacentral:tRNA from 1 species
GUCGACGUGGCGAAGGCGGCGAGGGCGGCCCGAGAGGCCGCCGGUGAGCCGAUGUGAGGGGUGGCCCCGGUCCCCGUCCGGCCGCCGGCCC